AACGAACGCUGGCGGCAGGCCUAACACAUGCAAGUCGAACGCUCGUAGCAAUACGGGAGUGGCAGACGGGUGAGUAACACGUGGGAACCUUCCCUAUGGUUCGGAAUAGCUCAGGGAAACUUGGGGGUAAUACCGGAUAAGCCCUUCGGGGAAAGGAUUUAUCGCCAUUGGAUGGCCCGCGUCGGAUUAGCUAGUUGGUGAGGUAACGGCUCACCAAGGC
rnacentral:rRNA from 1 species